rnacentral:rRNA from 1 species
GUUAGGAAUAUUGGACAAUGGGCGAAAGCCUGAUCCAGCCAUGCCGGGUGAACGAUGAAGGCCUUCGGGUUGUAAAGUUCUUUAGCCGAUGAUUAUAAUGACUGUAGUCGGAAAAUAAGCCCCGGCUAACUUCGUGCCAGCAGCCGCGGUAAUACGAAGGGGGCGAGCGUUAUUCGGAAUCACUGGGCGUAAAGCGUGCGUAGGCGGUUUUGUAAGUUAGGAGUGAAAGCCCAGGGCUCAACCUUGGAAUUGCUCUUAAAACUGCAAGGCUCGAAUAUCGGAGAGGAUAGCGGAAUUUCCAGUGUAGCAGUGAAAUGCGUAGAUAUUGGAAGGAACACCAGUGGCGUAAGCGGCUAUCUGGACGAGUAUUGACGCUGAGGCACGAAAGCGUGGGGAUCAAACAGGAUUAGAAACCCCAGUAGUCC